rnacentral:lncRNA from 1 species
AAUUGCAAGAGAGGAUAGAUCCAUUGAUGUCCACAGCCUCAACUCGUUUUUGCAUGUUCUUCUUCAGGAACAGUUGCUCUGCUCUGCAUGGUUCUCUCUUCUUUCUUUUUAGACUCCUUCUAUUUUACCAGUGCCGUCUGUCCUUCCUUUAGAACCUUAUCCUCCUUCAUCACCAUAUCUUGAAGUAUAAUAAGCAAAUACAAAUUUUUUUUUUCUGGGUGAUGGUGUCGAAGCAGGAGGUAACAAUGGUGAUAAAGACAUGCCACUGGAGUUCUUGACUUUACAUUCAUUCUUAUCUCUCUUAUCCUCUUA